AUAAGCGGAGGAAAAGAA
rnacentral:snRNA from 1 species